rnacentral:tRNA from 1 species
CCAGCCAUAGCUUAGUUGGUAGAGCGGAGGACUGUAGAUCCUUAGGUCACUGGUUCGAAUCCGGUUGAGUGAA